rnacentral:rRNA from 1 species
AUGUCUGGGAAUGUGUCGGACAGCUCAGGUAUUGGUGAAUCAGCUGAUGAGUUGUUGCAAACACCAUAUAUUAGGCAGGCUAAAGUCUGGGAAUACUAUGAGCCAAAUUUGGUAGAGGUGGACAAUGUCCCGAAGGCUGUGUGUAAGUAUUGUUCCAUGAAAUUAGCAUGCAAGUCUGGAACGAGCAGCCUUAGAAACCACAUUGGCGAGUCAUGCCCCAAAAUCGAUGAUGAGUCCAGAAAUAGGUUUCUUGCAACAAUUAAGAAAAACCCAUCAGAUGUGGGGUUUGUUUUCGAUCCUCAGAGAAGAUGUCAGCUAAUGAUCAAAUAUUGCAUCCACACCGAGGUUGCAUUCAGGAAGUUUGACGAUCCUUACUUUGAAGAGUGGAUGGACUCGAUGCAGCCCACCUUUAAAGUGGCGCCAGACUGUUCGCAACGACUGUGUGGACGCAUAUGA